rnacentral:snRNA from 1 species
GACGCUUCUCGGCUCUCUGAGCUAAGAUCAUGUGUACUAUCUGUUCUUUGCAGUGUAAUUUCUGCAACGGUCUCUAAACUGAGACCAAUAAAAUUACCUGUAUUUUCCCUUACGGACGGGUGCUGUGAACUUGCUCAACCCCGUCCACAGGUUGGCCUCGUAUUGCACUACCUCGAGGAUUGGCCCAUUAAGC